GCCUUUUUGGUGGCUAGUGUGGGCAUCUUCACAGCAUGGACAUUUGGGGAGAGCUGAACUGGACUGUAUGUAAAAGCUGCAAGACUUCUUUUGACAGAGCCUCAGGAGUCCUGUAGUACCGCUUCUGCCACACUUGGUAGUCAGAAGGGGUCAUCUUUGGAGACUAGUGGCUUACAAGAGCAAAUAGAUUUGAGUGCCUCUGUUCUUCUGUAGAAGUGUUUUGUGUGUGUGUGUGUGUGUGUGUGUGUGUGUGUGUGUGUGGUUGUUUCCUUUUCUUAAAGGUUCCCUUUAAGUAGCAGGUUCAGCUAAUAAUAACAAAGCGACUAUUCCUGGGGGCUUGCGGUGUGCCAGGCGCUGACUGCCCUACUGCUUUAUCUCUCUCAGUAUCCUGUGAAUUACUACAUAUUUAUCUCCAUUUUGCAGAAGGUGAAACAGUGAAGAAAAUAACUUGUUUAAGAUCAUGUGGUUAGUCAGGGCAGGCCCCUGUGCUGUCCAUGGCAGAGCCAUUCUAAUUUCUAGCCAUCUACGUAACUGUGUUAAAUUCUAAUCAUUUCUAAUGCUUUUGUUUCUUUGCUUCUUUAGGAGAAGCCAAGAGAACCUUGAGGCAGAUGCGCUAAAGGCAGGGAAAAUAAAUAGCCAUCCCUUGUGCUGAGUACUCCAGAUGAAAUUGUAGAGCUGCUACCCAAUUGGAGGAAAAUGUUUGGUUUGCUGAGCCCAUUUACGUUUCUCGCGGUUCCUGUUUUUCAUAAUGUCAGGUUUGAAACCCCCAUACACACUAAUGACUGAGUCAUAAAUACACCAAAAAGUUGCUACACGUUUCCGAAAGUUAGUUCCUGGGUGUCUACUUGUAACUCUUUUCAAAGUGCUUUCCCCCACAAAGAAAAUACCAGCAGCAAUUAAAGCAGACAAAUGACUCAUUUGGGUGAAAGCAGUUUUCGAGUCAAGGGUGUUUAAAAGCAAAAGUUAUUUUUGAAAAAUCUUCACAAUCAGCUCUAAUUGGCAGCGCUGUUUCUUCUUAUUUUGCACUAUUGUGAGGGUUUCAAGAGACCUCUUGGCCAUCGUGAUCCUCCCAUGUGUGGGCAGAGCGGGGAAUAAGGCACAGCCAGCCUGGUGGGCUUAAUCCUACAGAACAGUGAUUCUGGAAGUGUUGUCCUGGUGCCCACCUGCACCAGAAUUACCUGAGAAGAGGAGGCGCUCAUCUAAAACGCAGAGUGUGGGCCCC
rnacentral:lncRNA from 1 species